AGGCCUAACACAUGCAAGUCGAGCGGAAGAGAGAAGCUUGCUUCUCUAGAGAGCGGCGGACGGGUGAGUAAUGCCUAGGAAUCUGCCUGGUAGUGGGGGAUAACGUUCGGAAACGGACGCUAAUACCGCAUACGUCCUACGGGAGAAAGCAGGGGACCUUCGGGCCUUGCGCUAUCAGAUGAGCCUAGGUCGGAUUAGCUAGUUGGUGAGGUAAUGGCUCACCAAGGCGACGAUCCGUAACUGGUCUGAGAGGAUGAUCAGUCACACUGGAACUGAGACACGGUCCAG
rnacentral:rRNA from 1 species